ACGGAAACGACUGCUAAUACCGAAUACGAUCCGAAAGUCGCAUGACAUUUGGAUGAAAGGGUGGCCUAUCGAAGAAGCUAUCGCUUGAAGAGGGGUUUGCGUCCGAUUAGGUAGUUGGUGAGGGUAACGGGCCCACCAAGCCGACGAUCGGUAGCCGGUCUGAGAGGAUGAACGGCCACACUGGAACUGAGACACGGUCCAGACUCCUACGGGAGGCAGCAGUGGGGAAUCUUCCGCAAUGGACGAAAGUCUGACGGAGCAAUGCCGCGUGAGUGAAGACGGCCUUCGGGUUGUAAAGCUCUGUGAUUCGGGACGAAAGGCCAUAUGUGAAUAAUAUAUGGAAAUGACGGUACCGAAAAAGCAAGCCACGGGCUAACUACGUGCCAGCAGCCGCGGUAAAU
rnacentral:rRNA from 1 species